AUGGAUCAAGGCACAAGAACGAGAUCUCUGCGACUUCAUGCGGCCGGUGGAGCGGUCAGUGGCACCUUCUUCCUGAUCAACGUCUUCUUGGCCGUGACUCUCUUUCUGGGAGGCAUCAACGGAGCGAACUCCACCACCUCCUCCUUUAUGGACACCGCCAUCGUGUCGAUCUUGGCAGCAGCAGUAGGAGCAGUAACGGUGGCGAACCACGGGAGCUUCAGCGCGGCGGCCGCCGUCAGCCGGUUGUCGGGGUUGCAUGUAAGAAGACCGUUGAGGACCUCGAAUCCCUCCGCGGACAGCGUCUCCACCGGGAACAGAUCUCGCAGCGUGCUCUGCUGCCCCGGCACCAGCGGCGGCGGGGCGGUGUGCGGCAGCGACGUGAACCCCGGCCACGUCGUGUCGUCUGGCACGCCCACCACUUGGAAGAUCCUUUGGAACAGAGAGAUGAAUUCGUCGGCCCGGAAAAUCCUCUUGCCCGAGAGCAUCUCCGCCAUGACGCACCUAAGAGACCAUGUGUCGACGAGCGCGUCGUAG
rnacentral:rRNA from 1 species